AGCUCCAAUAGCGUAUAUUAAAGUUGUUGCAGUUAAAAGCUCGUAGUUGGAUAUCUGACCACACCCUGCCUGGCCCGCUCCCUCAGGGAGAAGAGUGCCGGGCCGGGUUGGUCAUCCUUCCGGAGAGUUGGUCUGCCCUUCACUGGGUUGGACUCUUUUACUAUCUGGAUCUUUUACUUUGAAGAAAAUAGAGUGUUCAAAGCAAGCUUACGCUGUGAAUAUAUUAGCAUGGAAUAAUAACAUAGGACUUUCUUUCCUAUUUGUUGGUUCUAGGAAUAAAAGUAAUGAUUGAUAGGGACAGUUGGGGGUGCUGCUAUUCCGUGGCCAGAGGUGAAAUUCUUGGAUUUGUUAAAGACAAACAACUGCGAAAUCAUUUGCCAAUGAUGUUUUUG
rnacentral:rRNA from 1 species